AGAGUUUGAUCCUGGCUCAGAACGAACGCUGGCGGCGUGCCUAACACAUGCAAGUCGAACGAGAAAGGGAUAGCAAUAUCCCCGGUAAAGUGGCGAACGGGUGAGUAACACGUGGGUAACCUGCCCUCGAGCUCGGAAUAACCCGCCGAAAGGUGGGCUAAUACCGGAUUACAUUCCCGGCCCUCUGGGGCCAGGAAUCAAAGAUGGCCAAUGCUUGCAAGCUAUCACUUGAGGAGGGGCCCGCGGCCCAUUAGCUAGUUGGCGGGGUAAUGGCCCACCAAGGCGACGAUGGGUAGCCGGCCUGAGAGGGCGAUCGGCCACAUUGGAACUGAGACACGGUCCAGACUCCUACGGGAGGCAGCAGUGAGGAAUCUUGCGCAAUGGGCGAAAGCCUGACGCAGCAACGCCGCGUGGGUGAUGAAGGCCUUCGGGUCGUAAAACCCUGUCAGGUGGGAAGAAUCGGGUGGGGGCUAAUAUCCUCUGCCCCUGACUGUACCACCAGAGGAAGCCCCGGCUAACUCCGUGCCAGCAGCCGCGGUAAUACGGAGGGGGCCAGCGUUGUUCGGAAUUAUUGGGCGUAAAGGGCGCGUAGGCGGCCGAGUAAGUCUGACGUGAAAUCCCUUGGCUUAACCAAGGAACUGCGUCUUAAACUGCUCGGCUUGAGUCCGGGAGAGGGUAGUGGAAUUCCCAGUGUAGCGGUGAAAUGCGUAGAUAUUGGGAGGAACACCGGUGGCGAAGGCGGCUACCUGGACCGGUACUGACGCUGAGGCGCGAAAGCUAGGGGAGCAAACAGGAUUAGAUACCCUAGUAGUCC
rnacentral:rRNA from 1 species